rnacentral:ncRNA from 2 species
AUUCAAAGGCAAACCUGUCGAAAGGCAGGGACGCAAAGCCAUGGGUCUAAGGUCGUGAGAUUAUGACAGCCGGUUGCCGC